rnacentral:lncRNA from 1 species
AAAAUCUGAUCCGAAUUCUUAUGGAUCAAAUUAAUAAUUAUAUUGAUUUAGUACUUAAAAACUAUCAACAAACCCCAAAAAUUAAUGUAAUUAAAAAAAAUAACCCGACAUCUUACGGGUCAAAUUAAUAAUUACAAUAAGUUUAGGGAUAACACUUGCGGAUAAUGCCUACAAGAUUCAUAAAGUGAACAUUGGGAUCCAAUUAAGUAAAUAACUAAAGAAUAUAAACAAAAUAAAGUAAAAUAAAUGAAAAAAUAAAAAAACAACCUAAUUGAUUUUGCUUUUUCUGUUGUUUUUCCUUUUCUUCUGAGCAAGGCAGCACGUGGUGGCCGGUCCGGUGAGGAGUCGCCGGCGUGAGCGGAUGAUCGUCAGAGCUCCGGCGAGAGGAAAACAGCAGCAAGCGAUCGGCGAGGAGGUGAAUCGGUGGUAGCUUCGCGAACGGGGGCGCUGCAGGGGCGUCGGCUCGGCGUCCGGUGGGGCCGAGGCGGUGGCAAGAACAGAGCACCGGCGUGCAGGCGUCGAUCCGGUAGGGGCUGCGUCACGGCUGAGGAGGAGGCGCGGCGGACAAGUCGGACGGCGUCUCCGCAGGGGGCUAGCGUUCUGUUCAGGACUUGCUAGCGGAGCAGCGAGCUCGCGGGCGAUGGAGAGCUCCGGCGACUGGCGAGAUAGCGGUGCGGGUGCAGCGGUCGGUGGUUCGUCAGGGAGCGGAGCAGGGGCAAGGCUCGGCGCGGCACGGUGGCGGAAGCCUCGCGGAUGGAAGUUGCAGAGGAGGGGCAGCGAUUUGGGGAUGAUGAUGAACAGUAGGGGUCAAAUCACCCCUUUACUUUUAUCCUCUCUCUCUCUCACACGUCACUCUCCCUCUUCCUUCGCUUUUCUGCAGAAGCUUUUUGCUUUUUUCUUUUUCUCUUCUUUCCUUUUAACCUCCAUGGAUGGCUUCUCUCCCCUUUCACUUUUUCUGAAUUUUUUUAAAAGAAGCUCUACAUCUCCA